CCCUUAGAUGUUCUGGGCCGCACGCGCGCUACACUGACGCAUUCAACGAGUCUAAAACCUGGUCUGAUAGGGCUGGGUAAUCUUUUGAAUGUGUGUCGUGAUUGGGAUAAAUGAUUGUAAUUCUUCAUUUUCAACGAGGAAUGCCUAGUAAACGCAAGUCAUCAGCUUGCAUUGAUUACGUCCCUGCCCUUUGUACACACCGCCCGUCGCUCCUACCGAUUGAAUGAUCCGAUGAAUAUCAUGGACUGAGAGUGUUAGAGUUUUCGGACUUCUACACUUCUCGGGAAGUGAAGUGAAUCUUAUCAUUUAGAGGAAGGAGAAGUCGUAACA
rnacentral:rRNA from 1 species